UCUCCGUAGGUGAACCAGCGGAGGGAUCAUUA
rnacentral:rRNA from 1 species